CUGAUGGCUUAGUUGUUCGACCACCAACAGGCAGUGUAUUUUAUAAAACUCCAGAAGCCAAAGACGCCAUUCCUGAUAUUGUAGAGGUGGAGUGUCCAUAUACAGCAUCAUCUUCAACAGUAGCAGAUGGGGCACAAAAUUUGAAGGAUUUUUUAUAGAUCUUAAACAAGAUACCCUGUGCCUGAAAACCAGUCACCCAUACUAUCAUCAAAUUCAAGGCCAGCUACACAUAUGUAACAAAACAUGCUGCGACUUAAUUGUGUGGACAAGAGUAGACUGCAUUGUGAUUAGAAUAGUAAAAGACAUGGAAUGGACAGCAAAUGUUUCAAAGCUGAUAGAUUUCUACUUUAACAUUUUCAUUCCAGCACUGAUGGAAAACUGAGUUCUGGUUUCAACUU